rnacentral:lncRNA from 1 species
GUUGGCAUCUGCGAUGGUAGCUAAAUAAAUGAGAUUUCUAUGUAACACAAUCUGGUACUGGACACACUUGUUCGCUCGACCCUUGUUCUGAUACUCCACAAUACAGCAGAUCAGCUGGUCAUUCUCCAGGAGCUUCCUUUGAUUUUGGAUGGUCUCUUGAUUGGCUUCUGCCUUGCCCCUCAUCCAGUCAGGUACCAAGGCCACAGACAUCACAGGGGGCCCAGGUCAGCACCCCACCUCAGAAAAAGACGCCCAUUGGCAGCCAGACAGACGCUAUCUCCGCUCUGAAGGCUAGAGAGUAAAUUUGGAUCCCAACACUAGAAUUUACAAGGCACCACUGAGGUUUCAGAGAGGGUUGUUAUCUGGUCAGGGAAAACCAGAAUUUAUGAGGCGCCAGUAAGGUUUCAGAGAGGGUUAUUAUCUGGUCAGGGAAAACCAAGCAUGAAUGAGUUCAAGGCAUGGGCAGGCAUUAGAAAUUGCAGUAAUUUAUAGUAAAACAGAAAUUAACUUUUCAUGACUUUGUGAUGAGAUGGCUCGCAAUCUUUAGAUGGAAUUAGGCUGGGUUUAUCAUUCCCCCCUUGUCUUAUGUGUCCCUUUCAAAUCUUUGAUAGGGUAGAGGAAGAGCUCUGGAGGAAUUUUAAUUCCUCAGGUGACAGUCCCC